rnacentral:antisense_RNA from 1 species
UAAUGGUGAUCCGGGCGGGGCAGCCCUCGGGCUGGCCGGUUUCCAAUAAGGCCGGUUUCUCACCCCCGUUCGGGUCGCCACCA